rnacentral:rRNA from 1 species
GCUACGGCCAUACCAGCCUGGGUACACCCGAUCUCGUCUGAUCUCGGAAGCUAAGCAGGGUCGGGCCUGGUUAGUACUUGGAUGGGAGACCGCCUGGGAAUACCAGGUGCUGUAAGCA